CUUUAAUCUUACCAGAGGAACCUGCGUCUUAACUCGAAACUACCCGUUUAAUUUUACUUAAAUAUUUGUUUGUAUAUCGUCGUAAAAAUAAAACUUUAAAGUGUAUAUUUAAAUUUAUUUAAUGAAAAAUUACAGAUCAAGGUUCAGCUGUGUUUAAGAGAACGUGAGUUACAAUGUUUUGUAAACAUAUGAAUAAUCUUUUGAAAUGAGGAUUUGAAGGUGGAUUUGAAAGUAUAUUAGAAGUAAAAGGUGUAAUUGAAUUAGCAAUAAAGCAUG
rnacentral:rRNA from 1 species